ensembl:miRNA mir34b microRNA 34b
GGGCCUGGUCUGUAGGCAGUGUAGUUAGCUGAUUGUUCUCCUGGCUGCAAUCACUAACCACACUACCAACACAACA